GCUGUAUAAAAAAGAUUGCAUUUUAUGUAUGGGUUCCUGCUGAAACUUAUCUUAAGAAAAAAAUAAGGAUGCACACAUAUAAGUUUGGAUUUUCUUUUGGAAUUGAAGGUCAGACUUACCUACUCUGUAAGAGAUUAUUCUUUUAUAUCAUUGACUCAAAGUUUGCUGGGGAACAAGUUCAGGAAAGUCCUGGGCAAAGGUAGAGAAAUCUUCUGUCUGGAGGACACUGAUGGACAGGUCUGGCUAAAGGUUGUGAAAUCCUCUAAGGAGCACAGAUGGACAAGGCCAGGGGCAACGAGAGAGAGUUAAGCUGCUGCUAAUGGCCGGGAAACAGUCUUUUUGUGUGGACUUAUCUCAAGGAAGAUGGCCAUCUCAGGAGGUAUGCACAUGACUCUUGCUCAAGCACCCAGGGAUGUCACGUAGGCAGGAGAAAACGGAGGAUAAAAGAGGGUCCAACAACCACGGCGAGGUAGAGAGGCUUAUCUCUCACCACGACAGACUUGAGGGGUUCUCUGCCAUCUGAUCCUUCACCACAACACAGAGGCUGAUCUCUCAUGAUCUCUCACCACGACACGAGCUUCCUGCCUUCAGAUCCUUCUCUACGGACCGUUUGCUGACGGACUUCCCUGGGCCUGCUACCUGAGACCUGCUGCUUCCUCCCUGACCUGCACCCUCUCGUUGCCCAAGACCGGCCUCGCUGCUCCUGCCCUUCGGCCUCGGACCGUCGGAACGUCGUGCAAUGGGACUGCUGCUGGAUCCUGGUGGUGACUAUCCCCUCUUUACGCAAUUCAUGCCUCUUUCUAUCUUUUCUAUCGCUCGCCUUCCCUUCCCCAUCACCCCAAUCCUUAAUAGUGUCCGUCUUCCCCUUUCCCCAUCUCCCUUAUUAACAUUUGUAAUAAACUGGUCGGACCAACAUUUGAACCGUUGUUUCUUAAUCUCACGCCGGGCAUUCAUAUUUCAAAGAACCUCCUCUCCCUCCUAUAAAUUGGAGCGAGACACUUCAACAUAGAUAAUUGUACAAGUGAUAUGCAUUUAUUACUGUACCAUUUUAUAGAGAUUAUUUCCUUCUGCCUGAACCAGCCGGUCUGCUGUCUGUUGACAGCACUAGA
ensembl:lncRNA